AAAAAGCAGUACUUGCUGCGAAAGCAGCGGGAGAAAUUUUAUGGACCAUUUAAACAAAGCAAAGGACACAGAAGGGUGUUCAAAGCUCAUAUAGAGAAAGAAACGUUACAAGUCUGUCCGCUGAGGAAGAAUGAGAGUGUUCAAAGCAGUGGCAGCAAGAGCAUGAAAGAUAGAGAAGAGGUUUUGCCAGGAUCUGAUGAACAAUCAGGUGAAUCCGAAAGCCAGGACCAAGAGCAGAAUCAGGACUCAGUCAGUAGCAGCAAUGAAGAAAAUGUUCAUUGCCCACAAGUUGUCACCACUGGCUCACCUGGCACUUCAACAAAUGAUUAGGAAGAAGGUUAUUAGUUAUCUAACAGAUCUUAAAGGUGUCUGUUUUGUAAUUAGAUAUAAAAGGAAAAAGGAUCAAGUCAUGAUGUUGCUUCUUUUUAUAAUAUUUCUGAAAGUACUUUUAUUUUCAAGUGUGGAAUACAUAAUGUACAACCAUUUCUCUUAAGGGUCCAUGUAUUUUUUUUUUUUUUUUUUUUUUUUGUAGUACAUAUGAAUACUAAAACUUUUUUUUAAAUGGUUCUAAACAGACCUACUUAGAAACUUACCUAAGUGAGUUCUGUUAUUCUCAUUUCAUGGCUUGUGCUCAAA